UGAGGAGAUCAGGCAGUCGCGUGAACAUGCCGAAAGGCGGUUUACGAGGAAAGUCCGGGCUGCAUAGGGCAAGGAUAGCGGGUAACGCCCGCCGAAGGCGACUUCAGGAAAAGUGCAACAGAGAUAUACCGCUUUGUAUUUUCUCGGGAAAAUGCGAAGUAAGGGUGGAAAGGCGAGGUAAGAGCUCACCGGCCGGCAGGAGACUGUCCGGUCCUGUAAACUCUAUCCGCAGCAACACCGCGGAGGGGACAUUGGCCUGCCCGGCCGUCCCCGUGGAGGUGGCUUGAGCCUGCCGGCAACGGCAGGCCUAGAUAGAUGACUGCUGCGCGUGCGGAUUUGCCGCAGCGUACAGAACCCGGCUUACGUAUCUUCCUCACGAC
rnacentral:RNase_P_RNA from 1 species